rnacentral:rRNA from 1 species
GACGAACGCUGGCGGCGUGCUUAACACAUGCAAGUCGAACGGAAAGGCCCUGCUUUUGUGGGGUGCUCGAGUGGCGAACGGGUGAGUAACACGUGAGUAACCUGCCCUUGACUUUGGGAUAACUUCAGGAAACUGGGGCUAAUACCGGAUAGGAGCUCCUGCUGCAUGGUGGGGGUUGGAAAGUUUCGGCGGUUGGGGAUGGACUCGCGGCUUAUCAGCUUGUUGGUGGGGUAGUGGCUUACCGAGGCUUUGACGGGUAGCCGGCCUGAGAGGGUGACCGGCGACAUUGGGCCUGAGAUACGGCCCAGACUCCUACGGGAGGCAGCAGUGGGGAAUAUUGCACAAUGGGCGGAAGCCUGAUGCAGCAACGCCGCGUGCGGGAUGACGGCCUUCGGGUUGUAAACCGCUUUCGCCUGUGACGAAGCGUGAGUGACGGUAAUGGGUAAAGAAGCACCGGCUAACUACGUG